rnacentral:rRNA from 1 species
UUCCGCAAUGGGCGAAAGCCUGACGGAGCGACACCGCGUGAUGGAUGAAGACCCUCGUGGGUCGUAAACAUCUUUUAUGAGGGAGAAAGUUUAUUGAUAGUACCUCACGAAUAAGGGGUUGCUAAACUCGUGCCAGCAGCAGCGGUAAUACGAGUGCCCCGAGCGUUAUCCGGAAUUAUUGGGCGUAAAGGGUGUGUAGGUGGCAGUGUUAGUCAGUUGUUAAAACCCGGGGCUUAACCCCGGAACCGCGACUGAAACGGCACAGCUAGAGGAUGGCAGGGGUGUAUGGAACUCAUGGAGUAGGGGUGAAAUCCGUUGAUAUCAUGGGGAACACCAAAAGCGAAGGCAGUACACUGGGCCAUUCCUGACACUGAAACACGAAAGCGUGGGUAGCGAAUGGGAUUAGAUACCCCAGUAGUCCACGCCCUAAACGAUGACAACUAGCUAUACGGAGUAUCGACCCUCUGUGUGGCGAAGCUAACGCGUUAAGUUGUCCGCCUGGGUAGUACGACCGCAAGGUUA